GUAGGUGGCAAGCGUUGUCCGGAAUUAUUGGGCGUAAAGCGCGCGCAGGCGGUUCUUUAAGUCUGAUGUGGGAGCCCACGGCUCAACCGUGGAGGGUCAUUGGAAACUGGAGAACUUGAGUACAGAAGAGGAAAGCGGAAUUCCACGUGUAGCGGUGAAAUGCGUAGAGAUGUGGAGGAACACCAGUGGCGAAGGCGGCUUUUCUGGUCUGUAACUGACGCUGAGGCGCGAAAGCGUGGGGAGCAAACAGGGAUUAGAUACCCUGGUAAUCCACGCCGUAAACGACGAGUGCUAAGUGUUAGGGGGUUUACCCGGCCCCCUUAGUGCUGCAGCUAACGCAUUAAGCACUCCGCCUGGGGAGUACGCCGCAAGGCUG
rnacentral:rRNA from 1 species